rnacentral:rRNA from 1 species
UCCUACGGGAGGCAGCAGUGAGGAAUCUUGCGCAAUGGGCGAAAGCCUGACGCACCCACGCCGCGUGCCGGAUGAAGGCCCCAUGGGUUGUAAACGGCUUUUAAGCAGGAAGAACGACCGGAUUUCGAUCUGGUGUGACGGUACUGCUUGAAUAAGCACCGGCUAACUCCGUGCCAGCAGCCGCGGUAAUACGGAGGGUGCAAGCGUUGUCCGGAAUCAUUGGGUGUAAAGGGUGCGUAGGCGGGCGUCUAAGUCUGGGGUGAAAUCUUGCCGCUUAACGGUAAAAUGGCCUUGGAUACUGGGCGUCUUGAGUGUAGAGGAGGUAAGUGGAAUUCGUAGUGUAGCGGUGAAAUGCAUAGAUAUUACGAAGAACAUCAGUGGCGAAGGCGGCUUACUGGUCUACAACUGACGCUGAGGCACUAAAGCGUGGGGAGCGAACAGGAUUAGAUACCCUGGUAGUCCACGCUGUAAACGAUGCAUACUAGGUGUUGGCCUUUCGGGGCCAGUGCUGCAGUUAACGCUUUAAGUAUGCCACCUGGGGAGUACGUCGGCUACGAUGAAACUCCAAGGAAUUGACGG